CUUUCGGUAGCUUAGCUGGAAGAGCAUGGGACUAUAACAGAUGGUUUAUGAUAUCCCGAGGUUGCUUGUUCAACUCCAGUCUGAAGGA